UACUCACAGGUCAAGGCAGUCUCCCUA
rnacentral:piRNA from 1 species